rnacentral:tRNA from 1 species
UCCCUUUUAACUCAGUCAGUAGAACAUGAGACUCUUAAUCUCAUGGUCAUUGGUUCGAGCCCCACAUUGGGUG